rnacentral:misc_RNA from 1 species
ACUUAGCCCCGAUUGUAGCAUUUGUUUGAGCUCAUUUUUUUGAUUUCGGUUUCGGCGAGCCAAAGGCUCGCCGAAACCGAAAUCAAAAAAAUAGCGAGUGCGGAAAGCGGGAAAUUGC